AUGUACUGCGGCGCUCCGGUUCCUCCGCGCCGGCCGCACCCACCUGACGGCUACUCGCUGCGUCUUGUAACC
rnacentral:sRNA from 1 species